AGAGAGAAGGCAGGGCUGAAAUACGGUGUGGCCAUGGCACAGGCUCCUUCCCACAGCUUGGCUCAGCAGGAUGGUUAGAUUUCCCACGCGUCAAAAGAAUGCUGAGGAAGGCCUUCACAAUGAACAGAAAGCUGCAGUUUCCUCCUCUGUAUUCUUUCUCCACUCCCACUCGCCUCAUGUACCCCACUGACCCAGGUAUGAGAAACCCAGCCUGCACCUUCUAUAGCACCACAUGCCUAGACUGAGGAAAGAUCCACAAAUGCCACUCUUCUUCGAAUAGCCUACCUUCAUGAAGUCUCACCAACCCGCUGAAUAUGGACUCCAACGGUGCCCUAGGGGAUGGUGGAGCCACCAGAUGGAAGGAGCCUGGUGAUCCCGAGAAGGAGAGAUGCCUCGCUGACCUGAACAUCUUUCCAGAACUGUUAAAUGAAGCCUGCAGGACACCAGCUGACAGUGGAAGGACUGAGGAAGGUUGUAUAAUUUUGUGCAAGGUCCACCACAAAUCCAGCUGAAGAACUGCUCCAAAGUUUAGGUCAUGGCAAGAACAAGACUGGAUCACUCCAUGUCAGUGGAAACAUGUCCACCAACUUCAUCAUUGUCUGUUGUCAUGGUUCACUUUAGAUGUAAACUUGACUGGAUUAAGGAUUCCCUAAAGUGUCAGGCCUCUGAGCCCAAGCUAAGCCAUCAUAUCCCCUGUGACCUGCAUGUACACAUCCAGAUGGCCGGUUCCUGCCUUAACUGACGACAUUCCACCACAAAAGAAGUGAAAAUGGCCUGUUCCUGCCUUAACUGAUGACAUUAUCUUGUGAAAUUCCUUCUCCUGGCUCAUCCUGGCUCCAAAGCUCCCCCACUGAGCACCUUGUGACCCCCACUCCUGCCCACCAGAGAACAACCCCCUUUGACUGUAAUUUUCCUUUACCUUCCCAAAUCUUAUAAAAUGGCCCCACCCCAUCUCCCUUUGCUGACUUUCUUUUCAGACUCAGCCCUCCUGCAACCAGUUGAUUAAAAGCUUUAUUGCUCACA
rnacentral:lncRNA from 10 species